rnacentral:pre_miRNA from 1 species
AGAGGAAUAGCUGGGUCAAAUGGUGGUUCCAUUCCCAGAUUUCCAAGGAAUCUCCAUAUUGCUUUCCAAAUCGGCCGCACCAUUUUGCAGUCCCACCAGCAAU